rnacentral:lncRNA from 1 species
GAUAUAGACACGUUUUAUAGUAACACCAUAUUGUGUAUUAAGAAAUGUAGAGAAGAUUUAUAGAUACAUCAAUUUUCUUGUGUACUAAUAUAUAAUGAUUCUUUUAUUUGCAUUUAUAAAUCUAAUAUAUCAUUUUAUUUUCUAAUAGGUUAAUAAUGCCUAAAUAAAUUAUCCAUGAUAUUGCAUUGGCAAUCAAUUCUUUGGUUCACCAAAAAGAAACUGACUACUUCAUUCAAGAACCAACAUGUCUAUUGAUUAAAGUACUAUCAACAAGACAAUUGCCUUGAUAAAGAAACACAGACAAAGUGACAAUAUCAUACAACUAUUUCUAAUUUUUUCACUAACAACUAAACCUAUGCUCCAUUGCCCGUUCUUGCCCCU